AUAGCAUUAGGAGAUAUACCUAAUGUAAAUGACUAGUUAACGGGUGCAGCACACCAACAUGGCACAUGUAUCAUAUGUAACCUGCAUGUUGUGCACAUGUACCCUAGAACUUAAAGUAUAAUAAACAAAAAAAGUGGGUGGGCAUUUAUGUGUAUAUGUGUUCAUGAGCAUGUACCUAUGGUGUAUUGUUUUUAGACCUCUUAAAUUGAUAAGACUCAGAGACAGAAUAUCUAAGAAGAUGAAAUGUAACUGGAAUUAAAAGAAAGAUCCAAGCCAAAAUUCUUGAAAUUAUUUUGUUUGAAGGUAGUAGUUGAAGUCAUGUCUUCAAAGAAGUUGGUAUUUAAAAAGAAAAGUCGAUGCCCAGUACUUUAUCUUUGGGUACCUUCAUAGCCUGGAGAUAAAAGCUAGCAGAGAAUUCAACUACAUUAUCUG
rnacentral:lncRNA from 1 species